rnacentral:lncRNA from 1 species
AGCGUUCGUUUCAGUGACCGGUUCUGGCCACUCGGCGGCUCGUACCAGGGCACGGCCGCUGGGACCAGUAAGGCUGCGCCGCCGCACAACUCAUUACGUCGGUGCCGGGAACUCCCGCGGGCGAGGCAGGAUGCGCGUUAGGGACCGUCCCCGCCGUCCCGCGUUGAACGUUCGGAAUUGUUCUCGUAACGUCACGGCAGAGAGCUCCUGCCGGCGAGGUAGGGUCGCACACCUCGUCGGCGGCCAGUAAGCCCCGUCUCAGGCUCCUGUGGAAUCGCGCGGCAGCUCUCGCGAGGUUUGGGCGCGCUGAACGUUGUAGCUCGGAGUGGUGCCAUUUUGGGAGUGAGGUGACUGGUGUGUGUAUAUAUGUGUUUGCGUGUGGGGUGUUCUCGUGUCUGGGGGUUCUUCGUGGUUCUUGGGGGGUGGAGGGCCGCUGUUGCUGCGUACGGUGUGGCGGCAACAGCGGCGGCAGCAGUAGCAGCCGCCGCCAGGGAGCAGAGGUAAUUUGGAUUACAGAGAGAGCCCUGGAUGUUUGGCUUGUUUUGCCUUAGCUGGUAGGGAGGAAGAAUGGUGGAAAUCGACCUGCUGUAGUUGCUUUUUUUUGAAAGUGGGGAGAUAUCGGACACUGAUUGUGGAUUACUUGUCCAAGUGUAUCCUCCUGAAAAGGCUUCUGGAACAAUCAGUAGGCAUCUGGAAAGUGAAUUGGAAGUUCGAAGUUGUGAGCUUUCUCUUUCUAGAAACACAGAGCAGUUCACCCUUGGACACUUCUGUUCGCAUGUCAUGGAUACAUGGCUGAAUGUAUCAGGUGUGGAAUGCUUUGGCUGUCAAAAUAAUGCACUUCUUGGCUUUUAGUUACUUUUUUCUUCCAAGCAACGUUCUGUCUGAGUCAUAGGCAUAACCAGUUUUGUGAACUGACUUCAGGUUAAGUGCAGCCUGAGUCACUGUGUAGAUAUUGCUGAAAAGUUUCAUGGCAGAUAUUCCCCCCCCCCCUUUUUUUUUUGAUUUUCUGAUAUAGCCUUUUGUCAUUUUUGCACUAAGACCUAUUUUCUAAAUGAAACAGUAAUUUGUUCAUAGCUACUUCUGUUGAAAAAUGUUGUUGCCAAUAAGUAAUAUAGUGAUAUCCAGAUAGCUAUUGUUUACAAAUGUCUCUGCUCUCUGAAAUCAGGAAAUGCUACUUAGUUCAGAUGUGAAACUUGUUUUUUUGGCUUUACAGUUUACAGUAUAAAAAGUGUGUUUAUUUCAUCUGGAGCUGAUGCUUCUUACAGUGAUAUGUAUAUGGAAUAGAUGAGAGGAGAAGCUU